rnacentral:lncRNA from 1 species
AUGGCUGGAAUGUUUAUUCAUUAUCUUCCAGUAAUAAACCUGCUUUUCCUGCAAGCUCGUUAUUUACUCAUAUAUAUUUUGUGUGACAGGGAAGCUUUUUAUUUGUGUCAGUCAAGGAUGGAGUUUAAGCACACGAAAAAGACAAGCUUUUCGGUCAGGAGGAAAACAAAAAAUGGGAAAGAAAAGAAACUUUCAAUGAAAAAAAUAGAGCAGACAGAUGUGAACCUUCCACCAGAGGAACAGGCAUCUGGAGUUCCUGAUCUCAUUGCUCUAGAUGCUGAAGCACUUAACAAGAGAGUGCUUCAUGCUCUCAAAACAAUUUUGAGUGAUGAAUCAACCUCUGAGGACUUUGAUGCUGCAGUUGAGGUGCUGAAAACAUUGAGCAAACUGAAUAACAACUAUUCUCAAGACGGGCUUUUUGAGUACCUUCAAGAAAUAAAUCAGUUUGUGGAGAACCACUUUCCCACGCUGCCAGCAGAGGGACCACGGGGAUCUCAGUUGGAGCCGAUACAGGACUUUCAGAGAACACAGAGCAUGAUAAAUGAUAAGGUGCUUCGAUUAACACCUGCACUGAAAGAUGCUGGGCUGCUAGAUCAUCUGAUGGACAGUUACAGCCGUCACCUCUUUACCAACCUGGACCUGCUGCUAAACAGAGAUCUGUCUGUGAAAGAGAUCUUCUGCCUUCUGCUGUGGGGAAAAGAUGUUUUCUUCAGUUCAGACUCACAGCAUUUCUUCAGAGUGCACGACCCUCUGCUGUUGACAAAUUGGUUUGAGAGAGCAACGAAGAAACUGCUGCCAAAACUAAAGAAUGACAUCUCCACGACUCUACAGAACAUCCUGGACUAUGAUGCGCAAAAUAGACCAAAUGGAGACUCAAUGGAUGAAGAAACGUUCAUCAGAGUUCACUUAGAUGUCACUAAAUGUCUGAAUGCUGUUAUACAGAGUUCUAAGGAAUUUAGUCACACGUUGAUGUGUGCGGCACAAACACUCUGUCUUAAAGAGCUUCAUCAUUUUGUUCAGGAGUAUGUGCAUGCAGAGAAAAAAAGCCUGGAAAAACAACAACCCCUGAAGAAAAAUCCUGUGCAUCUGUUUCGGCUCAUCAGCACUUGUAGACAACUCAGAUUUUUUGCUCCUCAACUCAACAAUCCAGAUAUAAACAACAGUGACGACCUCUCAAAAAUUAUCUGCAUGUUAGAGGAGAUGGAGGAUCACGCUCUGUCUAUUGUACAGAAGAUGAUGAAAGACGUUGCACAGGUAACAUCAUUUCAUCAUAAACAGUUUAUGUACAGAAGGAAAGUUGAGGACUUUCCCAGAUUCCAAAAAGGGAAUGUCUCAGUCAUCAAUAGAGGUUAAUAUUUGUUUGCUUACAUACCUGCUUAUCAGGUUUUUCAACAAUGAAUAGGUAACUCUUUGUAAUAAGGUUGAGUUUGUUACGUAGUAAAUCCAUUAGGUAUUAUGAACUAACAUUGAGCAAUACUUUUUAAACCUAGAGUUCAGUUUCAGUUUAAUUUAUUUACAUAGCACAUUUAAUAACGAAAGAGCCGACCAAAGUGCUGAACAGAAAAUAGAACAAAACUAAUAACAAUAAAACAAAAAAGAAUAAAAGAAAACACAAAGUACACAACACUAAAUUCACACAAAAUAAAACUGUAUACAGCAGUUACUCCAGUCCAUAAGACAUUUUAAAAAGAUAUGUCUUAAGUAAAGAUUUAAAAACCGGAACAGAAGUGGCUGAUCUGCCACAGAAAAUGCACGAUCCCCCUUGUGUUUUAAGCGUUUCCUAUUAACAGACAGCAACAGAGUGUUUGAUGACCUUAAUGGCCCAUCGAUCUGAUAAUGGGAGAGAAGAUCAGAUGAGUAGUUUGGUGCCAAGCCUGUCAGGGACUUAUAAACAAACAAUAAUACCUUAAACUAGAUUCUAUACUCAUGGGGGAACCAGUACAAACUAGCCAAAACAGGUGUAAUAUUUUCCCCCUUCCUAGUCCUAGUUAAAAGUCUGGCUGCAGCAUUUUGGACCAACUGAAGGCGAGACAAACAAGAUUGAGUGACCCCUAAAUAUAGUAAAUUACAAUAGUCCAGUCUUGAUGAAAUUAAUGCAUGGAUAACGGUCUCCAAGUCCCUGAAUAAAAGAAAAGAUUCAAAAUUCCUGAGCUGAAAAAAUGCUAAUUUGACAACUGAGUUUAUUUGUUUGUCAAAUUUAAGUGUAGGGUCAAAAAUAAAUCCCUAAUUUCUUGCAUAAAUACCUACAGUGUUAGUUAUAGGAACCAAUGUUUUUGAGAAGAUAUUGGCAGAACCCAGACAUCCAAAAACAUUUCAGUCUUAGAGUCGUUUAAUUGAAGGAAUUUAUCCUCCAUCCAACUUUGAACUUCACUGAAACAACCAAGUAAUGACUGGAGAGACAUAACUGGUAGAUAAAGCUGUUUUUCAUCUGCAUAACAAUGAUAUGAAAUCUGAUGCUUAUGAAAAAUAUUGGUUAAUGGAAGAAGAUAGAGGUAAAACAAAACAGGGCCUAAAACAGAUCCCUGUGGCACACCACAUGUACAUGCAGCAGAGGAUGAAGUAAAGU